rnacentral:rRNA from 1 species
GACGAACGCUGGCGGCGUGCCUAAUACAUGCAAGUCGAACGCACAGUUUAUACCGUAGCUUGCUACACCAUAGACUGUGAGUUGCGAACGGGUGAGUAACGCGUAGGUAACCUGCCUGGUAGCGGGGGAUAACUAUUGGAAACGAUAGCUAAUACCGCAUAAUAUUGAUUAUUGCAUGAUAAUUAAUUGAAAGGUGCAAUUGCACCACUACCAGAUGGACCUGCGUUGUAUUAGCUAGUAGGUGAGGUAACGGCUCACCUAGGCGACGAUACAUAGCCGACCUGAGAGGGUGAUCGGCCACACUGGGACUGAGACACGGCCCAGACUCCUACGGGAGGCAGCAGUAGGGAAUCUUCGGCAAUGGACGAAAGUCUGACCGAGCAACGCCGCGUGAGUGAAGAAGGGUUUCGGAUCGUAAAGCUCUGUUGUAAGAGAAGAACGGGUGUGAGAGUGGAAAGUUCACACUGUGACGGUAUCUUACCAGAAAGGGACGGCUAACUACGUG